AUGAACCGAGCAGGCCGGCUCGCGCUGGUGAAAUCGGUGCUCAGCGCGAUCCCGCUGCACCAGCUGCUUGUGUUGGCGCCCCCAAAGAGGAUCCUCCGCAUGCUUGAGCGUAUCCAGCGUGGGUUCCUUUGGGCCGGGCGCGCCGAGGCCAAGGGAGGCCACUGCCACGUUAACUGGCGUCGUGUCGCGCGCCCCAGGAGCCUCGGCGGGCUGGGCGUGCAUGAUCUGGAGCACACUGGCAUGGCGCUCAAGACCCGUUGGCUCUGGUUCAGCAAAACUGACGGGCGCCGUGCUUGGGCUGGUCUCGACCUCCAGUUCUCUGCUGAGGAGCAGGCCUUCUUCUUCGCCAGCACCCACACAUCCAUUGGGAACGGCCACACACCAAAUUUUGGGAGGACCGAUUGA
rnacentral:rRNA from 1 species